GGAGAGAUGGCUGAGUGGUCGAUAGCGGCGGUUUGCUAAACCGUUGUAGGGUUAAAAUCCUACCCCGGGUUCGAAUCCCGGUCUCUCCGCCA
rnacentral:tRNA from 1 species